rnacentral:lncRNA from 10 species
CGGAAUCUCACUCUGUGCCCAGGCUGGAGUGCAGUGGCACAAUCUCGAUCUCAACUCACUGCAACCUCUGUCUCCUGGGUUCAAGUGAUCCUCCUACCACAGCCUCCCAAGUAGUUGGGAUUAUAGGCGCGUGCCACCAUGCCCGGCUAAUUUUUCGUAGUUUUAGUAGAGACAGGGUCUCACCAUGUUGGCCAAGCUGGUCUUGAACUCCUGACCUCAAAUGAUCUACCCACCUUGGCGUCCCAAAGUGCUGGGAUUAUAGGCGCGAAGGCAGAUGGAUCAUGUGACUGCAGGAAUUCGAGACCAGUCUGGGCAACAUAGUGAAACCCUAUCUCUACAACAAAAUACAAAAAUUAGCUGGGUGGAGGGGGUGCGCACCUGUGGUCCCAGUUACUCAGGAGGCUGAGGUGGGAGGAGCACCUGAGCCCAGGAGGUACAGGCUGUAGUGAGGCAUGAUCACACCACUGCACUCCAGCCUAGGAGACGGAGAUGCUGUCUCCAAAAAACAAACAAAAAACGGGAUAAAGGAUAGCUGUAGGGGCUCUCUGGGGCUGUCUUAAUGUCUGACCAUCCAUUAUUUGAAAGUAAUGUUCUCUAUAGAGUUAAUUACAUAAUGGCAUUGUAAUUACUAAGUGCCCUUAAAAUGAGUAUCAAAGGCUUUUACAAACUGGCAAAUAAAAUUUAACUCUGCAUCUUUGUUAGGUACAUGUUAUAAAAGUUUUUUUGUUUUGUUUUUGUGUUUUUGAGGCAGGGCCUCACUCCAUUACCCAGGUUGGAGUACAGUGUUGUGAUCAUAGUUCACUGCAGCCUCAAACUCCUAGGCUUGAUCAAUUCUCCCAUCUCAGCCUCUUGAGUAGUUAGGAGUACAGGUGCUCACCACCACAGCUGGCUAACUUUUUAAUUAGUUAUUUACUUAUUUUUAGAGACAGGGUCUCACUCUGUCGCCC